UACAGAGGUGGCAAGCGUUGUUCGGAAUUACUGGGCGUAAAGGGCUCGUAGGCGGCCAACUAAGUCGGAUGUGAAAUCCCCAGGCUCAACCUGGGAACUGCAUCCGAUACUGGAUGGCUUGAAUUCGGGAGAGGGAUGCAGAAUUCCAGGUGUAGCGGUGAAAUGCGUAGAUAUCUGGAGGAAUACCGGUGGCGAAGGCGGCAUCCUGGACCGACAUUGACGCUGAGGCACGAAAGCGUGGGGAGCAAACAGG
rnacentral:rRNA from 1 species